UUGCUCACUUUGGCAGCACACACACUAAAAUUACACUGAUGACAGAGAAGAUUAGCAUGUCCCCUGAGCAAGGAUGACAUGGCAAAUUCAUGAAGUGUUCCAAUUUUUU
ensembl:snRNA U6 U6 spliceosomal RNA